GUCUAGGACCAUACCACCCUGAACGCGCCCAAUCUUGUCUGAUCUCAGAAGCUAAGCAGGGUUGGGCCUGCCUAGUACUUGGAUGGGAGAAAAUCCUAAGGAAUCUACAAAAAAACCUCCUAGAAC
rnacentral:rRNA from 1 species